rnacentral:rRNA from 1 species
CUCAUGGUUUCACGGUAUUGCAAUGAGAACAAUUUAAAACCCUUAGCGAGAAUCAAGUGGAGGACAAGUCUGGUGCCAGCACCCGUGGUAAUUCCAGCUCCACUAGCGUAUAUUAAAGUUGUUGCAGUUAAAAAGCUCGUAGUUGAACCUCUGUCUGGGGCUAGUUUUGGCUUUGGUCAGGCUAGUUCUAGGCAUCCGCCUACAAGACUUAGAGGGCAUUCAGUUGUUCACUAGGAGGAGUAGGCAUUUUACUUUGAAAAAAUUAGAGUGUUUAAGGCAGGCAAUCGCCCGCAUAUAUUAGCAUGGAAUAAUAGAAUAGGACACUUUUCCAUUUCGUUGGUUAUUGGAAUCGUGUAAUGAUUAAUAGGGACAGUUGUGGGCAUUUGUAUUUAAUUGUCAGAGGUAAAAUUCUUGGAUUUAUUAAAGACAAACUAACGCGAAAGCAUUUGCCAAGGAUGUUUUCAUUAAUCAAGAACGAAAGUUAGGGGAUCAAAGACGAUCAGAUACCGUCCUAGUCUUAACUAUAAACUAUUCCGACUCAAUGUUUGACUGGCUUAUAUAACCAGUUGAGCGUUGUAUGAGAAAUCAAAGUCUUUAGGUUCUGGGGGGAGUAUGGUUGCAAAGCUGAAACUUAAAGGAAUUGACGGAAGAGCACAACCAGGAGUGGAUUCUGCGGCUUAAUUUGACUCAACACGGGGAAACUUACCAGGUUAAAACAAUAGUGGGAUUGACAGUUUGAGAGCGCUUUCUUGAUUGGUUGGGUGGUGGUGCAUGGCCGUUCUUAGUUGGUGGAGUGAUUUGUCUGCUUAAUUGCGUUAACGAACGAGACCUUAACCUGCUUACUAGACUGGCGAUCAUCAAUCGUUAGCUCUUCUUAGAGGGACUUUGGUGUUUUAACUCCAAGGAAGUUUGAGGCAAUAACAGGUCUGUGAUGCCCUUAGAUAUCCUGGGCCGCACGCGUCAUACAAUGACUAGUUCAGAAAGUUUUCUCCUGACCCGAAAGGGGAUGGGUAAUCUUGAUAAUACUAGUCGUGUUAGGGAUCGAUCUUUGCAAUUAUAGAUCUUGAACGAGGAAUUCCUAGUAAGUGCGGUUCAUCAGACCGUACUGAUUACGUCCCUGCUCUUUGUACACACCGCCCGUCGCUUCUACCGAGUGGGUGGUCCGGUGAGAUAAUUGAACUUCGCAGGUAACUGAGAGGAAAGAUUAUCAAACCUAUCCACCU